GCCUGGCCUGCUGACUGCUUCUUCGUGUUGCCUUUCCUGCUAAGGCGAGCUCUGAAUCUACGUGAAUGUUUUGUACACAGUAGGUGCUCAGUCAAUAUGGACUGUGUGGAUGAAUUGGCAGGGGCAGAGACCAUGCCUCAUUUUCCCUAGUAGGCAAUAGAGCAAGACCCUGUCUCAAAAAAAGAAAAGAAAAGAAAAGAAAAGAAAAGAAGAGAAAAAAUAGCACCAUUGCAGCCGCUUAAAUGCACUCUCCACUCUUCUCACUAAGGUGGCAGUCAGCGUCCUCAGUAGAGAAAUGUGCAGCUUUCAUGGAUGUACAAACAGCCUGGAGACAUUCCCAAACUUGCUAGAACAACUUUGUGGAAUAAGUGGUCACCAGCGUGGUAGAAUUUGAAGGUUCAGGUCAAUUCUUCCUAAAAAUAUUGCCCUUGAUCCCAUGGCAAUGCCUGAGAUGACACCGUGGAGGGGGUAGACCUAAGAGUUUUAAAGGAUGUUUGCUUUUCCAGAUCCACCCUUAAAACGCAAAUACGCUAGGAAAGGUUCUAAUUUAAAGCAAAGGCAGCCAACCCCAAACCCAGCGCCACAUGGUACAUCUUCAAGACUUUGGGCUUUGUCCUUGAAAAAGAACAUGUGGCUGUUAAUACCUGCACUAAUGCUGGGAUGCAAAAACACCGAGUCCUUUCAGAGCCCUCAAAGAGAAUUGUCAUCCAGAGACACGCAAGGAUGCUCUAGCUUAGAGAAAAAUGUCCUUCUCAUCCUGUCCCUUCUUGAUAAGACCCAAUUGUGGACCUCUUUCUCUCUCUUCACCUAUCAACGUUCUCCUAGAGCAAAUCUUGUUUUGCAGGGAGCUCUUCUCAGCCAGGCCUUCAUCUUUCUUCCAUGUUGGAUGCUUCCUGACCUUGAAAAUUGGACUCCAAGUUCUUUAGCUUUUGGACUGGGACUUACACCAGUGGUUUGCCAGGAGCUCUCAGGCCUUCGGCCACAAACUGAAGGCUGCACUGUUGGCUUCCCUACUUUUGAGGUUUUGGGACUCGGACUGGCUUCCUCGCUCCUCAGCUUGCAAACAGCCGGUUGUACGACUUUACUUUGUGAUUGUGUGAGUCAAUAGUCCUUAAUAAACUCCCUUUCCUAUAUACAUCUAUCCUAUUAGUCUGUCCCUCUAGAGAACCCUGACUGAUACAGAAAGGGUGAGGGGUGGUAUGGAGCCUGAACUCAGGCCUCCCUGGCUCCAAAGCUCUCCACUGCUCUGCCCUCCCCACCUCUCUCUGGGUUUAAGCUCCUGGAGGGAUGAGACCAAGGCAUGGUCAUCUCUAUCCAUGGAGUCCUGCAAAUAGCACAUUCUCAACAAAGUUUGUUGAAAAAGACCAUCUGGGUUCAAGUCCCAGUCCUGCCAUUUACUAAGCUACAAGGGGCUUUGGCAAGUUAUGUAACCUCUCCAUGCCUCAGUUUCUUCAUCUGUAAAAUAAUAAAAAUAAUAGUCCUACACAUUUAGGCUUGCAGGUAGAACUAGAUGACCUCACAUAUGAAAAAUGCCAGAACAGUACCUGGCGCAGGGUAAAUAUUGUGAAAUGCUGGGCUUCAUUAUCAUUAUGGCCCCCUUUCAAGGAUGCCUGGUGCAGGAAGAGGGGUGAUCUGGUUUGGCUCUGUACUCCCACUCAAAUCUCAUGUUGAAUUGUAAUCCCCAGUGUUGGGGGAGGGACCUCGUGGGAGGAGAUUGGAUCAUGGGGGCGGAUGUCCGCUUUGCUGUUGUCAAGAUAGGGAGCAAGUUCUCAUGAGAUCUGCUUGUUUGGAAGUGUGUAGCACUUCCUGCUUUGCUCUUUCUCCCUCUCCUGCUCCCGCCAUGUAAGACA
rnacentral:lncRNA from 1 species